AGUGAACGCUGGCGGUAUGCCUAACACAUGCAAGUCGAACGGCAGCACAGUAAGAGCUUGCUCUUACGGUUGGCGAGUGGCGGACGGGUGAGGAAUACAUCGGAAUCUACUUUUUCGUGGGGGAUAACGUAGGGAAACUUACGCUAAUACCGCAUACGACCUACGGGUGAAAGCAGGGGAUCUUCGGACCUUGCGCGAUUGAAUGAGCCGAUGUCGGAUUAGCUAGUUGGCGGGGUAAAGGCCCACCAAGGCGACGAUCCGUAGCCGGUCUGAGAGGAUGAUCAGCCACACUGGAACGGAGACACGGUCCAGACUCCUACGGGAGGCAGCAGUGGGGAAUAUUGGACAAUGGGCGCAAGCCUGAUCCAGCCAUACCGCGUGUGUGAAGAAGGCCUUCGGGUUGUAAAGCCCUUUUGUUGGGAAAGAAAAGCAGCAGGUUAAUACCCCGCUGUCCUGACGGUACCCAAAGAAUAAGCACCGGCUAACUUCGUG
rnacentral:rRNA from 1 species